AUUGAACGCUGGCGGCAGGCCUAACACAUGCAAGUCGAGCGGAUGAAGGGAGCUUGCUCCUGGAUUCAGCGGCGGACGGGUGAGUAAUGCCUAGGAAUCUGCCUGGUAGUGGGGGAUAACGUCCGGAAACGGGCGCUAAUACCGCAUACGUCCUGAGGGAGCAAGUGGGGGAUCUUCGGACCUCACGCUAUCAGAUGAGCCUAGGUCGGAUUAGCUAGUUGGUGGGGUAAAGGCCUACCAAGGCGACGAUCCGUAACUGGUCUGAGAGGAUGAUCAGUCACACUGGAACUGAGACACGGUCCAGACUCCUACGGGAGGCAGCAGUGGGGAAUAUUGGACAAUGGGCGAAAGCCUGAUCCAGCCAUGCCGCGUGUGUGAAGAAGGUCUUCGGAUUGUAAAGCACUUUAAGUUGGGAGGAAGGGCAGUAAGUUAAUACCUUGCUGUUGUGACGUUACCAACAGAAUAAGCACCGGCUAACUUCGUG
rnacentral:rRNA from 1 species